UACGUAGGGGGCAAGCGUUGUCCGGAAUCAUUGGGCGUAAAGCGCGUGUAGGCGGUCCGGUAAGUCCGCUGUGAAAGUCGGGGGCUCAACCCUCGGAUGCCGGUGGAUACUGUCGGGCUUGAGUACGGAAGAGGCGAGUGGAAUUCCUGGUGUAGCGGUGAAAUGCGCAGAUAUCAGGAGGAACACCAAUUGCGAAGGCAGCUCGCUGGGACGUCACUGACGCUGAGACGCGAAAGCGUGGGGAGCAAACAGG
rnacentral:rRNA from 1 species